CCUACGGGUGGCAGCAGUGAGGAAUAUUGGUCAAUGGACGCAAGUCUGAACCAGCCAUGCCGCGUGCAGGAAGACGGCUCUAUGAGUUGUAAACUGCUUUUGUACGAGGGUAAACGCAGAUACGCGUAUCUGUCUGAAAGUACCGUACGAAUAAGGAUCGGCUAACUCCGUGCCAGCAGCCGCGGUAAUACGGAGGAUUCAAGCGUUAUCCGGAUUUAUUGGGUUUAAAGGGUGCGUAGGCGGUCGGGUAAGUUAGUGGUGAAAUCCCGAGGCUCAACUUCGGAAUUGCCUCUGAUACUGUUAGGCUAGAGAGUAGUUGCGGUAGGCGGAAUGUGUGGUGUAGCGGUGAAAUGCUUAGAGAUCAUACAGAACACCGAUUGCGAAGGCAGCUUACCAAGCUGCAUCUGACGUUGAGGCACGAAAGCGUGGGGAGCAAACAGGAUUAGAUACCCCGGUAGUC
rnacentral:rRNA from 1 species